UAGAUUACGGGAAGGCACGAGUUAUACCGAAAGUACUUGAAGUGACAUCAGGAAGAAACAGUUCAGGGCAGUGUGAGGCGUCCUUGUAACCCACCCGGAUCUCGGAGGAGAAAACUGACACUGAUAGUGCGGGUAGACCUCGACCGACCACCACAACCAUCAGAUGAACGACAACAACCCUCCUCAACCAGGUACCCAGAAUAUCCAGGUUACACCAAACACACAAGGACCCAUGCAGACUGUUAACACGGCAGGAAUGGUUUAUGGUGGAGUUGGCAACACAUAUAACGAGAUUUACGGGCAAGGCGACAAGGAACGUGUAGAAAAAAACUCCGGGAUUUGCGUGGUCAACUGUUGGUAAAGGAGCGUCAAAAACGAGAGAGAAGAGAUGAUGUUCAAAAUCUGGAGUUGAAGGUGAGUAA